rnacentral:rRNA from 1 species
GACGAACCGUGCGAACGUUGUUCGGAAUCACUGGGCUUAAAGGGCGCGUAGGCGGGCUGCCGCGUCCGGGGUGAAAUCCCACGGCUCAACCGUGGAACUGCCUCGGAUACGGACGGUCUCGAGGGGGGUAGGGGCACGCGGAACUGUGGGUGGAGCGGUGAAAUGCGUUGAUAUCCACAGGAACUCCGGUGGCGAAGGCGGCAUCCUGGACCGAUAUUGACGCUGAUGCGCGAAAGCCAGGGGAGCAAACGGG